CUUUUUUUUUUUUUUUUUGGUAAAUAAAGAUGCAUUAAAAAUAAAAUCAAGUCAACAGAGUGCAAAUUAAGGUACAGUCAUCCGUGGGAGGAAACCCCCUUUAAGUCUUGCAAAAGUAAGGGAAGUACAAAAUUAGGACAUAAUUCAAAAAAAGUGAAGUCUUGAGUGUUGCUUCUUCCCCAGUUGGCAAGGAUGUCUGCACAUUUGUUUGCUUCUCUAUAAUUAUGGUGAAAACAUACUUUCUGGAAUGUAGUCAAUAGCUCCCUGCAAUCAAGAAUAAUAGGUGCAAGUUCAUGAGAAAUAAGAUUAUUUGACUUACACAAGGAGAAUAUAAAGGCAGAGUCCAUCUCCACUUCGAGAGAGUGGAUGUUGAGAUUUUUCGCAAGUUGUAAGCCUUCUCUAAGAGCCCAACAUUCAGCAGAAGGAACUGAACAGAAGCCUAAAUUUCUUGCAAAGCCCGCAAUCCAUAUCCCAUUUGAGUCACGAAUUAUGCCACCAGCUCCUGCCUGGUUUGUUGGUCCAGAGACUGAACCAUCAGUAUUGAGCUUGGCGAAACCUAUAGCAGGGGGGGAUCCAUCUGAUGAAUUUUUCUUGUCUAGGGGAUCUGGAGAUAUGAGAACCAGGCCCUAGUAGGUAAAAUUCAUGAGCAUGGUGAAGACAAAACUUGAUAGGAUCAUCAAUUUUGUUUUUUUGAAAGAUCUUGGCAUUGCGAGCUUGCCAGAGGCUCCAACAACCAAAGCUAAAAAUGGUUCCCCAAGGAAUAAGGUUGAAAGGGGAAGGAAUGUUGGACGAGCAUCCAUCCUUGAUCCAGGAAUAGAAAUCCGAGCUGGUUUGGAGGGAGUUUUGGGAGGAUGGGUGAGUUUAAGCCAGAAGGAGGUUGCUUGGGGACAAGAUCUUAGUAUGUGAUUCGAAUCUUCAGAAGGAGCUUGACAAAAAGGGCAAGAGGCUUCGGAAAGAAUUGUGCGAUGUGUGAGAAGACUUUUUGAAGGGAGUCUAUCCUGGGAUGCUAGCCAAAGGAAAUGCUUGACUUUUGAGGAGUAUUAACUUUCCAAAUCCAGCGAAAAUGGGAUGGAGCUCUAGAAUCAACUGGAAAUAAGGGAGGAUUUUUGCAAAGGUUAUAAGCAGAUUUCGAGUUGAAAACCCCAUUGCUGGAGUAAUUCCACCUAAAGAAAUCAUGGGAUGGAUUGAGCUCUUGUCUUGGUGUACCCUUGAUCUCCUUCACGAGCUGGAGAGGAAGCUGGAAGGAUAUUCUAUCAAGGUUCCAACUGGUGGGGAGUGAAAAAGUUGAAAAACUCUUAAGUCCUCUUCCCCCUCAGUUAGAGGUCCUUGGAUCUGGCUUCUGAUAGAGCCUGAUUGAAGCCAUUUGUCUCCCCAAAAUCUGACUAAAUGCCCAUCUCUGAUAGACCAAAUUAAACCUUCAUUGAAGGUUUUGAUCCCAAUGUUGGAGUUUGGACUGUUGAAGCCUGUCGAUGCGGUUGGAUUUGCAACGUUGUGAGUUUGUUUGGACAAAGAUAAUUUGAUUUGCAAAAUUUAUUCUCACAAAUCCCAAUCACCUUUUUAUCUCACAUACAUCACAUCACAAAAAGUGCUACAGUAAAUAUCUCAAAUAAAUCAUCCAAAUAAACUCUUAUCCAAACAAACUCGUGCUUCUUUUUCUUUUUCUUUUUUCUUUACAUGCUUCGUUGAGAUUAUCAGAUAAAAUUCUCUUAAUUUGCUUUUUUAAUUAGCUGGGUUGACUUUAGAUUAGACUAUACCCAACUUUACCCAGUGGGUCUGAACGUUCACAUAAGUGCUGCUAUGCCUGCAGUCCUUUGCAUAAAUAAAACUGACAAUACGAAUCACGUCUGUUUUCUUUUCUCUCUGCCUGCUUUAUCACUGGAUUUUAUCCUAACUUUAGGUGGGCUUGAUUCGUAUUAGAUUGGAGCGAUAAUGAGAUGUAUUCGAUAUUCUGUACCAAUAAAGAAGGUUAUACUGCAACAAUAGACACCUCAGCUGAUCUCUCGUUUCUAUUUCCCUAAUUCAUGCUUCUAGACGUCGUUGACUAUGGGGGCAUCCUGUCCUGUCCUGUCCAGUUAGUUUCCGGUUAAACCUCUCUGAUUCUAGCUCAAUCUUCAUGCAUUAUUAUUAAGUACGAUUGCAGUUGGAGAAAGUUCUAUAACAAAUUCUCAGUCAUCAAGAUGAUUUUAACAAUUCACUUGAUAAAAUCAAGAAAAUUUUCUAAGAUUUUAGAUGGGGCAAAAUAGCGGCUGUAAAUGAAAUUACCAGAAGUCCUUCGGGUUAAAAAGCAUUAGCCAAAACUUGGGGCCGGCUGCUACCAACUCCUGCCGCAGUGGAUGUGUUUAUUUUGUGGUAACUGUCAGUUCUAGGAACGCUGGUCCGCGGGCCUUGCCUCAAAUGACUCCUUCAUAUUGUUUUGAGCCGUCAUCAAUAGUUUGAUUCGCCAACCAACCCAUUAAUUGGGAUCGUUCAUGCCUGAAUUCCAGACACCUCUAUGCCUGUCGACAUGCUUGCCAAGGUAGACGGAGAUGGAAUUCCUUCGAAGCACCGUAUCAAAGAGUGUGACAGCAUCAUGCAGAGACAGCCGCGCCGAAAAUGCGAGUGGAACAAAUACCCAGCUUUAGCACUACUACAUGCAUUUGUCUCGAUCAAAAGAGUAGAGAUUUUACAGCAAUCCAACUCUGGUACUGAAUCUUCUAGUAUUACAAUUUUCAGUGCUUCUAUCUACCUUUCUAAUUCACAGCGUACAGAAGUAGAGCUAGUCAACUUUUAGCACUUGCUACUGAAUAGUUUCUAGGACUUUUUAGACAUUGUCAAGCAUCUGCUUAGUGCUAUCCAGUUGGUAUUGGCACAGUCUAUACAUUCUAGAACAAUACCGAGGCCAGAUUCAAAACCGCAAUGAUUCUUCUUCUUCUUUUUUUUUUUUUUUUUCCUUUUUAGUGAUACACCAACACUGUAUGUGCUAUAUACUACAUUACUAAGAACGGGCCCUGGAUUUGUCUUUGAGCAAUUCUACCACUCUUCUCAUGGAGGGCCUGUUCAUUGGAAGAGAUGAAACGCACUGAAGGGCGACGUCUAAGACCACCCUAAUCUCUUCAAGCUCAGAUGUUGAUGGUUUCAACCUUGCAUCUACAAGGUGAUCCAAAUAGUCAGCACAAAUUUUGGCACUAUCGUUGGCUAUUGGUUGUUCUGCAGAUGACAAUGCCACCUCCAUUACCCACUGUACGAUAUCUUUAUUCUCCCAAAAGAGGGAUCGAUUGGCCGUUUACCAGUAAUCAGUUCCAACAGAACCACACCAAAGCUGUAUACAUCACUCUUCUCUGUGAUCUUCAGAGUGUAUGCAUAUUCUGCAGAAACAAGAAGACAGCAAAAGCAUGUUAGUUAGCCACCAUGGCUUCAGACUCAAAAGAUAAUCACAUCAGGGAAAGAACAUUUUAAAUUUGAGAGAAUUAAUAUCACGAUUACAUUAAUCGCAAUCUAGCAUUAAUUUCUAACAAUCUCCUUAAUAACUAAUAUGCACCCGAGGGCAAAGAUGAAGUAUGUCUACUUGAUGUGUUCCUUUUCCUUUCAUUCCAAGCACAAGUAAACCUAAAAACAGCUUGAAACCUAUAAUCAGAGUAUAUAACUGGUCUUGCUCCCUUCAGUAGAAGUUCAUGUCCAGCGAAGGAAAGCUAAUAACAAAAAAUGGCAUUCGAUAAAUAUAGUUCAACAUACAUUUUUAUAAUAAAUAAAAAAUGGCUUUUAACCCAGUCACUCUAACUGGUUGGAGUUGAAGCCUUCAAGACAAAAGAAAGGAGGUUUGAGAUAAACACACCAAAUAAAACUUGACUAAACCCCGGUCAAACUAAGCUCAGUGUCGCUACUAAUUCAACUAAAAUCAACUUUCUUUCAGCAAGAAUUGGUUCAAAGCCAAUUCAUAUCUUCCACUUCAAAACAAUGGGCUAAAGUUGCUAGAAUAAGACUAUCUUCCCACCAAUCUUAGUCAUAGACUAGUUCCCUCAUGCGAUUUUCCAACUGGAGCAAUUGUUUAUGUGUAAUCACGAUUACGGGUGAAUAGAGAAUUUUUAAUCUUUGUUUUUGUAUUAUACAAUUGUAUCUUACUAUUUGUUGUCCUUGGAACAGAAACUAGAUAUCUCCAAGCUCCUGUGUCUCUUUUUUUGGUCUUGCAGUCAAAUUCGCUUUUGGCCACAGACAAGUACAUGCAAUGAUUUGAAGCGAUGUCGCAACAAAGACAAAGUGACAAAACCAUCCGUAAACAUGAGGCAACUCUCAAUUCCAAUCAAAUGGAGAACUCAAAGCCUAAAACUAGUCAAAUUAAGAACUGAGAGCCUAACACCAUAUGCCGCUUGCUUGCUGGAACAAAAUCAAGAAUAGCCAUCCCCACUCUACACCCAUAAUACCCUAAUAAAAACAUAAUUGCUGCAGGGGAAACUAAAAAGAAUUACAUUAAGCCAAAUCUAUCAUAUUAAUGAAUGAAACAAUUGAUAAUUACUACAAAUAAAAGGCCAUAAUAUAGACAGAAAAGUUAUGCCUCACCUGGAGCAAUAUAGCCGUAGGAGCCAGCAAUCUGAGACAUGAGUUGGCCGCCCUCCUCCAUAUUUUUAUGCAGAGUUUUUGCCAAACCAAAAUCAGCGACCUUUGGCCUGAAUUCCUCAUCCAACAAUAAUGUUGUUAGACUUCACAUCCCUAUGAACAAUUGCGGGUACGCAAUCAUGGUGCAAAUAGGCCAGUCCUUGAGCAGCCCCAAUUGCAAUCUUGAACCUCGUAUGCCAAUCCAACAAUACCCCACCUUUCUCUCCGUGUAGUACAUCCCCAAGCUCCCAUUCUCCAUGUAAUCGUACACUAAUAUCCUAAAGUUGUCUCCAGAGCAACUGAACAACAACUUCACUAUGCAACCAUGCUUGAUUCUGCCCAAAGUCUCCACCUCUGAUUGGAACACCUCUUCAGAUUCUGGUCCACGUUAGCAUCCCAGAGUCUCUUGACUGCGACUGUCGGCCCGUUCUUCAACAUGACACGAUAAACUUGGCCCGACCCGCCUGUUGCAAUGAGAUUAUCUUGACUCAGAAAGGCAACAAUAUCUUCCUCGUUGAACCACAGUCGCUGAAAUGCAGUCAUUUUCCAUGAUUUUUUGCCCCGACCUGCAAAUAAAUUUAGCUUCUUUGACUUGAUCAAUAGCCAUAGAAAUGAUACGACGAGUAUUCCUGACAAGGCUGAUAAAAUUCCCACCAAAACCAAGCUUAUGGGUCUUCUUUUCUGGCAUGAAGGGAGAGGUUUAAGAUCAGGACUGCACAAAUCCGAAUUGCCCACUAAGCUUGAAAUGAAAAUUUCAUUGUCGAAUGCACUAGGUACUCUGCCCUGAAGCCUAUUAUUUGAUAAAUUGAACAUAUUGAGCUUGAGUUUUGACAAAUCCGAGGAAUCUCACCAGAAAGUAAAUUCUCGGAAAGAUCUAAGUAUGUCAAAUCAGGCAACUCCCCGAGCUCAGCUGGAAUUGUACCAGAAAAUUGAUUGCCAGAUAAGUUCAAUUCUGUUAAAUCAGUCCAAGUGGUAACAGAGGUCGGGAUUUCACCUGUGAUUGAGUUUUCUUGGACAUCAAGCUUGAGUAACUUGUUCAAUUUGGUAUGCACGAGGGCAGUUUGCCUGAGAACCGGUUGCUGCUAAUGUCUAUAAUUUGAAGCUGUUCCAACUCGCAUAUUCCCUCCGGCAACUGCCAGAAAAGCUGUUGCCCGAUAUCAAAAAUCCUGUUAGAUUACGGGCAUUUGAAACCGUAGGAGGAAUUUCACCCUCUAGUCUAUUGUUUCGGAGUUCAAAAAUCGUAAGCCCAGGAAAACUCCAGAAACUAGGAGGUACAACUCCAGACAGCUCAUUACUGAAAUCCGGACGUACGUUAACGAACUGCACUCACCAUACGACUCAGGGAUUGGACCAGAAAAGUUAUUGUUAAACAAAACUAAUCUGUCUAGCUGCUUCUUGAAACAAAGAUUUGGAGGCAAAGGCCCUUCUAGAAAAUUCCCAGAUACAUCAAAAUCUUCCAAGCCUGAAUUCCUUCCCAAAUUAACCGGUAAAUUGCCGGAUAAUCUGUUAUUAAAGAGCUUGAGCUGAUAAAGAUAAGGAUUUAGAGCUAAAUUUUCUGGGAUUUGGCCUUCCAAAUUGUUGUCAUUGAGAUUGAAGGAUUGCAGAGCUAAACCGGUUAGACUUUCUGGUAUUCUUCCGGUGAGAUUGUUCGAUGAAGCAUCGAAAUUAUAUAAGAAGUCAGGUUCGAAAAUGUAUCUGGAAUUUCACCGGAGAGUUGGUUUGAAUAGAGCUCUAUCUGUUCGACAGCAAUUAGUCCUCCGAUACUUUCUGGGAUCUUUCCAGUGAGGUUGUUGACGGAGAGGUCGAGGUUUUUAAGAGAUUUGAGGUUUCCAAUUGAGUCUGGGAUUGAACCAAUUAUAUUUGAAAAUGGAAACCAGAGAUUUUCGAGUUUGGUGAGGCGGCCUAUGUCGGCCGGAAGUGGGCUUGGGCCGAAAUUGUUGGCAGCGAUUUCUAGACGAGUUAACUCGGUGAGAUUGGUUAAGAAAUCCGGGAUAGACCCGUUGAGUAAGUUGGAGAGAAGACGGAGAGACCUGAAGGUUGGGUAAGCGGGAACCGUAACUCGCCGGAAUCUCACCGGAGAAAUUGUUACUGACAGGUCGAAGGUGGUGAGGUUGAGGAACUGAGUUUGAAGCUCCGGCAGCCCGCCAACGAACAAGUUGGAGGACAGAUUGAGGAAUUGCAGGUGGGAGCAGAGAGUGAGCGCUUCAGGUGAGAGGGUUCCGUUGAAGUUGUUAUCGGAAAGGUCCAGAAAGCGGAGAGUCUGAAUCCGGCAAAAGUCCGCCGGAAAAUAGCCUGAGAUGCUGAGCUGGUGAGAUUAACGGAAACGACAUCGUUAGUUUGGUUGUCACAACCAAUGCCAGUCCAGUUGCAGGGAGCAUUGGGUGCGGACUGCUGCCAAUCAGCGAGAAGACCACUGGGGUCUUGCAGUUCAUUGGCCUUGACUCGAAGCAAAACGACGACGUCCCUGUUCGAUGAACUGGUACCAGGAAUUAUCAGAGCAAUGCAGAAAAGCAGUUUGAUGAGAUAGAGAUAGAGGGGCAGAGGUCUGCAGUAAAGCAAAAGCACAUAGUACCGGCCAUUUUCUUCUGUUAAUUAAACUACCACCCCGCAAACCGCAACUACUAGAAUGUAUAAUGCAAUCUAUCUAAAGAAAAUUGAGUUUGAGGAAAUGAUGGGCUAAUUCGAUGAUGAAAUCGUGAAAAUGAGAAUUAUUCAUGAUUUGUAUUUAGCCAUUGGAUUUGAAAGACAGCAGCAGGCAACUGGCAAGUAGUGCAUGGCCAUGGACAGAGUAACAGUGCAGGCAGAUUGGGAGAACCGCUGGAAGGGGGUGGAGGUAGCGUGAGCUAAUUAGUCUACUCAUUCUUGACUUAGGAUUCUUAAUUUAUGGUGAAUCUUGAUAGACUAAGGUCAAAAUAUCUUGAUAGACUACAUCGAUACUUUGUAUUCUGUUCACAUGUGAAGGGCUGGUCAUAGAUGGCAUUUAGUGUACUAAAAAUUUCCAUGUGGAGAUGAGAAAGUUAGCAAUAAUAUGAUAAAAUCGACAAUGAUUGUCAAAGUAGUUUCCAACGAGUCGACUCCCGUCGAAUUUUCAUUUAAUUGAAUUGAGUCUCGGUUUCAUUUUAUCAAAUUCGAUUAGAAUUUAGUGUAAAACUUGAGCUCGACGUCAAAUUUGCUUGAACUAGUUUGCAGGAUUCACAAUAAUUAUCUUUUUUUUUUUGGAAGCAAAUGAUUGUCAAAGAUUGGUGGGAGUGAAUUAGGCGGAUUAAAACUGAAAGGUAAGGAAGUGAAUUUUUCCAGAAACUCACUAUUCAUUAUUUGGUCAUAGACGGAAGAUUGAUGGUUUUAUAUGCUUUUGUAGAUAGUGUAGAACAUAAGAGGGGCAUACCAAAGAGGGAAUACCAUAUUACUUGUUUGGGGUGGAUAUUAACCACUGAGCCAACCUCAGUGGCCACCAAAGUGGGAAAAAAUCUCAUCUGUUUGGGUUAUAAGUGGGGUUCAAAUCACACCUGCAAUUAAAAAAAAUCAAAAGUGGUGUCAAAUCACCCUUUUAGUCUAGUCUCUAACACAAGCCUAUUUAGAUUCUCCUGAAAAAAAAAAUUUAGGAUGGAUAUCAUUAUUAUAUUUAGAUCAUCCAUGAACCAUGGCUCCGUUUGAUAAAUGAGUAUUUGGAUAUUUGUCUAAAAUUUUACCUUCUUGUAGUAGUUGUAGGAAAAAUUUGUAAGAUGAAAUUUUUUUUUUUCAUUUUCUCUCUCUCCCUCUUCCCCCCUUCCCAUGCCACUAUCCCCCUUCCCCCGACGCGAUCUGAUCUCACGACCAGAUUGAGCAAAGGGGGAUAGAGAGGGAGAGGGGAGGAGGAAGAUAGUGGGGAGGAAGAGGGGUAGAGAUAGGUGGCAGAGGAGAGGAACGGAGAGGGUGAGAGAGGAGGAGAGGGGAGGGAUGAGAGGGAGGGAAGAGGAGAGAAAAAGAAAAAAAGGUGGUCGUCUGGCCGGCGUCAAAGGUGGUGGUCGGUUGAGGUGGAAGAAAGAAGAAAAAAAAAUUUUAUGUGUUUUGAAUAUUUUGAAUUGUAUAGUUUAAAAUUUUUGAGAAAUUUUUUGAGAUUAUUGUAAUUAAAAUUAUUAAAAAAUUGAUGUGAGACAAAUUUAGCAAAAACUCACUUUGCCAAUCAGGCCCGUAUUUCACCACGUAACGAUGAUGAUUUCCUUCUCAAUGAUUUACUUGUAUUAUCUUCUGUCUUAGAAAGUCUUAUCCUUUUGCUACUGGUUGGCUACCUUUCACAACCACUGUCGUUGUGCGUACAGGGAUUACUCGUGUAUUGAGUGUGAUGCCUUUGGAGUCUUCGCCCAUGCCUGAAAAACAAACGAGUAAAGCAGUCAAAAAGGUUCUCAAGAGGUCAUACAAUGCAGUUGGCCGAAAUUGGUGACCAAUAUAUAAAUGCAAGGGUCCAUCAUUUCUUUUCACUUGAUUUGUAUUUUUCUUCGGAGGGUCCAUCAACUCUAUGAUUUUUUUUUUCUGAGGUGCCUAUCAACUCAAUGAUCUCAAUUCAAGACAAAAGGAUAAGUUAACAAUAAUCGAAGACUCGGGGAUUUGAAGGUAUGCGAGUGUGGAAUUAUUCCAGAAGCAAAGAUAAUAAAUACAUGGCUAAUUAUUUUAGUGCGGAGGGUCAAAAAAAAUGAGUACCAAAAAAAUCUACAAGUUGGUGAAAGCAAAAGGGGUGCAAAUGGAUGUUGUUGCAAGCAAAAGGUGUUUGCAACCCUUAAUCAUGAGAUUUCGAAUUCAAAAUUUAUGAGAAUGAAAAGGAUAACGUUGAGAAAAUUUCUCCUGCAAGAGACUCGACUCGGGUCGAACAAAAUUAAUCACAGUACAUGAUUAAUACCUGUGAAUUAUAAAAAAAAAAAAAAAAAUCUACAAAUCCCAAUAGUAAGGGCGCGGCGAAUGGAAACUCAUUUUCUACAUUGCUGAAUUUAACACCAGUGUGGGACACUAAAUUCAUAGUCGAAUCUUUGACUGUGAGCUGUAAACUAUGAAGGACAGCUUCUAGGAAUUGAAUUGUGUUCGAAAUUUGGGAAAAAAGAUGUACAGUCGCUUCAAUUCGAAGCAAAGUAGUAGUCAGCAAGCAGCAGUCCAGCCACUAGUGGAAAAUCGUAUCGUAUUGUAUCACUUUUUCUCUGGGAAUGUUUACAUGAAAGAAUUGAUGCGUGCGCAAGGAUUGGAAUUUAUUAAGAUGGAAGAGACCGUGCGAAGGAAGCAUAGAAUAUAAAAGUUCGGCUUAGUUGGUUCUCGUUCUGUUUCUUUUUGGUAGUUGUGGGAUUCUUUUAGCAAGUUUCUGAGAUUCUAAGUGGAUUGGUUGGAUGCCGGUUCUAGAACUAAUAGAUUUACCCCUCAGUUUUAGUUAGAUAACUUGUACUCAGCCGAAUGUUCUUUCAAUGGGAAAAAAAAAAAAAAAAAAAAAAACAAUUCAGGUUUGAUAUUACUAGUAAAUUAAAAGUGCUUCGUAGCCUUGACCAGGGAAGAGCUAAUAGUGGCUCCCUCAUAGUAAAAUUUCUCUAAGCAACUCAAAUUUUGGUGUUUGGAGGCUUGGAAAGAAAUUUUCAACAGAUUACAGAAUAUGAUAGGACAUCCCUUAUAGAGUGGUACUAUAUAAAUUUUUUCUUGCCCUCUCGUUUAGAAAUAUGCAGAUGCUUAAGACGGUACUUUGCAGUCAAGAAACAAUAGAAAACAAUUAUAGUUAUAAUUGGCUUUAUUAAAACUAAGUAUUACUACUACUUUAUUUUGUUUUGCUGUCCUCGUGCUUUCCCAUUUUGCUUUUGCUUUUUCCCUUCUCUUCUUUAGCUCCGUCAAUGUUGUAGGGUCCCAUAAUUAUGGCUGUUCCAUAAUAGCGUACUCAGAAGUCAAAAUUCUGUUCAUACAAAUGGAAAUGCUAGGACCGCAAAUUUGAAAUUAAAAGGAUCAGCCAAUCACAAUUGCCAAGUGCCUCGAGGCUGGGGACUACUUGCUUGACGUUUUGUCAUGAUAGUAUAAAACUGAACCACUGAGCUUUUGGCUGUAAAACCACCGGGGUAAGGGCUCAGCGGUGAUCGGAGAGGGGCUUAAGUUCCUUUUUAGGUUAUAGGUAAAGGUUCAAAUUUCAAUUGUAGUGAAAAAAAUUUAAGGGUGUGUCAGAGCAUUUUCUUGAUUUAGUUGAGUCUAUAUACUCACUAGUCUCCUAUCACAGCCUCCGUAGGCUUCCCUUCUCCCCUAGAUUAGAAUAAAAAAAAAAAAAAAAAAAAGAGCUUUUGGCUGUAAGCGCCAAAACUGCUUUUGGUUGUAAGUCGGUUCGAACUUCACCGGCGGUGAAAAAAUAUACCUGUUAGUCUCUUAUACAAUCUCUUUAGGCUUUCCUUCUCUGUAAAAUAGAAUAGAUUAAAUUAUAUAAUGUUAUUGUUGCUAUAAAAACAUAAUAUAAAACUGUAUCCUUCAAAAAGUAUCAUGCAAAAGAAAGAUGAUGACAGUACAUGUCAUGCUCGUCUAUAGAUCAACAACUAAUUUUAACUUUUAUUAUUUUCUCUUUUUUUGGUUCCCCCCCCCCCCCCUUUUUUUUUUUUUCUAAUUACUAGUGACCAAUUUUAUAUCUGAGAUAGUGGUACAGAGUAAACUUUAAGGGUAUUGGCCUAGGAUUUUUCGAUGCCUAGCUUUCUAGCAGUACUCAGAGAUUUCAUUCACCGUAUGCCAGUGGAUAACUUCUCAGUCUCCAUUCAAGCAUGUAGUAUAUCUUGUUCUCUCCCUUUGUUUGACUUGAUUUAAAUUGAAACAAAAUUAUUAGGAAGUCCAAUUCAAAGACCAAUUAAUGCUUCGAUAACGUCGCCCGCUGAUGCUAACAUAUGUUCAGUUUCUGGAAAAUGAAUAGAGUACCCAGCUCCAAUAAACUAUUUGAAUGGCUGGUUGGUAAAUUUUCUUAAAUUCACCCUACGCCCGAAAGAGAUAUGCGCAGGGAGGAACGUUGUUUGGACUCGUACAACUUUCAAGCAGUCUUCUUCAACACUUGAGUCAGUACUGAAAUAUGACAAAGAAUAAUUGAAAUUCAAAAAGAUGACAAUAAUUAGAAAAGCGUAGAAUGAAUAAACUAAACUUGGUGCUCAUAUAUAUAUUUUUUUAAGUAGUUAAAGUAGAGAAUUUAGAGGACUUCUUGCCAAGUUUGCUUACUAAAACUUCACGGCCUUGGCCCGGACCAAAAUACAAGGGUCCAACGGGCUUGAAGCAUUGCUUUCCCCGAGAGAGGAGCAAGAACGGCCGCAGCAAGCAAUCGUGUAUGUACAAAGUUACAUCUUAUAUAUUUUGUACAAAAUCGGUUCGGACAGUUUUCAUGACAAUUGUUUGGCUCCCGUGUUCGGGAGACUCUGAUUGGCACUCAAAUUCGAGCAGCGAAGGAUUUCUGGAAUUUUUUUUAAAAUUUAUUUUAUGUGGCGGAAUGCACAAACUAACUGGGCCGGGGUGCAAGAGCCAAGAUGGAAUAUCACGAAUACUGGAGAUGGAUAGCUUCGGGUUUCUGUGUUCUGCGAGAAUUUGAUAAACAAAUUUAAGAAGAAGCUGUCUGCAGGGUGAGGAACGGACAAAGCAACUCAAAGUCAACGUCGCCGUGAAGCAAAAGUUGUUCUACUAAAAGAACCCGACCGACAAUCUUCCGCGUACUAAUUUUGCGCUUUUCAGCUCCGCCCCAACAAUAACAUGCGUUCUAAAUUCUAAUCUACUACUCCCAGUCCCAGUAGUGAUUGAUGCUCAGCACCAGUUUUUGUUAUCUUUCUAAACAUGGAUAGACCGUCCAAGUAACUCGAAAAACCUGAUCCUCUCUCUUGUAACGUAAUCAAUGGCUUCUUGAUGAAUUUACUGAUACUUUGAAGAAGCGUGGGAAUCUGUAUAUAUAUAAUGAGGAGUUUGAUCAAAUGUUCUUCAUUCGAAAAAACAUCAGGACUGACGUUCUUUCGAGUGUAUAAGAUGGUGCGGUUAGGCAAGAGAACACGUUCAGUUCAGAUGGUCAAAAGUGUUUGGUGCAGUGGGUGAAGGUAAAUCUUGAUUAGCACGAACUUCAAUAAUGAAAUGAUCAACCGCACCUGAUUCAUUUUUGUGUGUGAGGUGGUUUAGUUUGGAAUUCAAUUUGGAACCACACAGUAUCACACGCUUUUACGCUCAGCACUAGUCACCAUUAGAGGUGGUAUCGAGCCGAGUCGAGCUCGAGUAGCACCAUACUCGAGCUCGAGCUCGAUCAAAAUUUGUACUACUCGAGCUUGAUCGAGUAAAAAAAUUUGGACUCGAGCUCGACUCGAUGAAAUAAAACUAAACUCGAGCUCGACUUGUUUGAGCUCGAGUAAAUAUCAAGCCUGAGCUACUCGAGCUUGAGCUCGAGUUUUGAAAUAAACCUAUAAUUUUUUUUAAAAUAUAUAAUAUAAUAUAAAUAAAAUAUGAAAACUCGAUUAAGCUCGACGAGCACUCGAAUAUUUAUUUCUUGAGCUCGAACUCGACUCGUUAAAUUUAACGAGUAGCUCGAGCUCGAUUUUACCGAGCUCGAGUCAAGCUUUUGAUCAAGCUGCUCGCGAGCUACUUGAUCAAGCUGACUUGCUAGCACCCCUAGCCACCAUUACCAAACAAGAUGAUGAUGCAUCAGUUUUAUAACUCAUACGCGAUGAUCAUGGAUCUCCUAUAUUUGUGUUUGCAAAAGGAUUGGAAAUUUAAUAAUAGCAUCAAUGGAACAAAUGAUGGGUUAGGUCUGACGGCGAUUGGCGGGUGAGAGAAAGGGUUGGUCGUUCCUUGAACAAUUGUUUAAAAGGAUAUGUAUCAUCAGAUCUGAUUGAUGAGUCAUACUAAGACAAUUCGCGGUUCGGUUAAGUAUGAAUUUUUGCUAAUUUAGGGAUAAAAAAUUGAUCCGUCUUAAGAAUGAGUUUAUGGGCCAAUAAAUAAAAUGAAGGAUUUUUAUCUUCAAACCCCGUUGCAUUGGGGUGGGGCAGUGCAAGAGAAAUCAUACAGAAGAGAUCAAAUGCCCUUCUUUUGAUAGUUAGGAGUAGGAUUGUCUUCAUCUUCCAUCGUUAAACUCCGUUCUUGCUCUUACAAUCAUAUGAUUUUAUUAUCUAAUUUUGCAGAAUUCAAUACUGGUUUUAAAGUUUGCAAAAUUAUAAUUAAAUCAAUUCUGUAGAUGUAAGUACAUAAUAUAUAUAAACUAAGAGAUACUUUAUACUUCAUGAAUUUAGUUUGAUGAUUUUGGUUUUAAAAUUUAAGUACAUAAAAUAUUGAUUUUUUAUAUCAUAACUUUCAAAACGAUUCAAGGAGGGAUACCAAUCUUAAGAAUGUUGUUUCUAGCAUAUAAUGCUAGAAAAUAUUAUUGAGAUUGAGGACGACAAAAUCACCAGAAUUUGUGCUCAGAAAUUUAAGUCGGGCAUGGUCCGGUAGUAGGAAAAUGCGCAGUCGCCACUGGUCAAAUCCAUACCCCAAUUCAAAGCGUCUGGGCAGCUUCUUAAUUUUUGGGCCCAUAUUAAGCUAACCGCAAAAUUUUUUUAAAAAAAUUAUUAUAAAGACGAGAGAACACGACGCGAUGUUAUUAUAAGCAAGACUCCAAGGAUCUGACAUCUGCUCCACAUGCCGUUGCAGCACCGUCACUGAUCGCCUGUCGUCUGCUACUAAAAAUGCAUGUUGUGGUAACAUCUCUUUUCUGUUUCUUUUUCUGGGUUACUCAAGUAGGUGUAAUCUUUUCUCAUUAUGUGGUAUAGAUCCCUGACUCUCUCAGAAAAACUGGCGGGUGUAAUGAUGGCCCGACCUAUCAUCAUAGUAUGACCAAGAACUAUGGUCUAAACCGAUGUGGGGAAAAUAUAGGAUUAGUUGAACUGAAACCGACCUAGUUAAGCUUCUAAUCUAGCAUUUGAUGAAAGGACGACAGUUAUGCUUCAGAAACUAGUCCUGUUUAAAACAAUUCUCCUCACAACAACCAUGACAUUUACAACAUUCCGUUUCCACCUGACAUGUCCUCCAUUCCUUGCCUUGGAAAUGCAGAAAGCCAAAGCUAGCAGGGCUGGCAGCAGGAAAAAGUUCCAAAUUGAAUGGUCUCGGCCACAUUAUUUGACAUUUGUCUCUAAUGAUGCUAACUACUUAAAGAACCAAUAAUUGAUCUUCCCUGCCCUGGACUUGUUUUCCACAUUCAACAAAUUAUCGGAAUCUAUUCAGCAAAGCAUUUGAUCAUGCUGCUUUUUUCUUCUUUUUUUUUUCUUUUUUCUUUUUAAGGAAACAGACUCAUGCAAUGGGAUCAAAGGAAAAUUUUGUCGUGUCGUUGACCUAAGAGUAAUUAUGAGGUUCUUAUCUAAAGUUACUUCGUGAAUGUUGCACCCGUAUUCCUACCACUCCACCACUUAAGACUGCAGUUGAAGCUUGAGAAUAUACAGAUCAUGAAGCAACACAUACAAUGUAAUACACUUUUCUUGGUUUAGAAUGCGAACAGGCAGUGAUGGAUUAAUAUUUAUUAGUCGCUAUUUCCUAAUAAACAUGGGAGACAUAAGUUUGUGAUGACAGCAUUUUAGUCGACACCGGAAACGACAUCAGUGAACAUUUUUCCUAAGCAUGCCAUUAUAGUGGCGUUUGACCCACAUAGAUCUGGUGCAUAUUAGCUUUUAGAUUUUUUUUCCUAUUUGAGUUGCAUGUUUAAUGUAAAAGGUUAAAGAUUGUCGCGUGCCCCGGAUUAAGUUGAACCAGACGCGGGUUGGCCAAAAAUCUGCGGAAGAAUAGCUUCGAAUUUGUUAUGAACUAGCAAAACACGAAAUUAAUUUGCAUGUUUGUUCUGUCCCAGGGUAGAUAAAGAACACCACCUCAUUACUUGCUAUUAUAUAUUAUUGGCUUCGGUAAAGGUACUGGGUCUUGGUAUUCCGAGUGAUGACACGGGAAAUAAUCUGAGAAGUUCAACACAAGUACAUGAACACGCAGGAAAACUUUUACUUCGCAAAUGUAUAAAACCUUUGAAAGAAGUUCUUAAUACAUGUCUCGUCAUGUCUUAAGAACUUGCAUUUCUUUAUAUGCUAACUCUAGCUUAUAGCAAGUAAACUCUUAUAUCUGAAUCUUUCGAAGACAAAAUGUUGAUAUGCAAAACAAAAUUGCAAACUUCUUGAUGAAUGUGAUAUGGAGCAUGAAGAGAAAGAGGAUUUCACAAGCAAUCAUGAAUUUCGAUAAACAUUAACAAUUAAACAAAUUUUUGCCCCACGAUCUCCUUGCAGUAAUAGAGAAAAGCCCUGAAACCAGCGCAUGGCCUAACGGAAGAAUGGAAAAAGUAUUUCUAAUAAGCUCAGAAAAAAAAAAAAAGAAAGAAAGAAAGAAUAAAAGGUUGUCAAGUACUCCCAUGUCAAUCUUAUAACACGGCAUUUCCAGAUUUCCCGAUUAAGUGGGAAAAAAAAUGGAUGACAAAAGCUAAUACCUAUCUUUGUAUAGAAUUAGAUGCUUAAACGUUCAGCGGGAAAAUAACAAUACUACUAAACUAAAAACAUAUGCGACGGCAAAAAGUAGAAUGCACAGGCCAUAUAACCGAAUUAAGAUGAAGGUGAUAUUUCUCUUUUCAAUUUUCCUUUUUGUCAGAGUAAACGGUAAGCUUUGAGGUUGCUGUUCUACAACUGUAUUUUCGAUCUUUUAUUGUCAGUGUCCUCGCCCUGUCACGAUACGUAUCAUGAAAAUCACAAGCAGAAAAGCAAACAUUAAAAGAUUGGCAGUUAAAAGCAAACCCUAUACAUAAUUACAUACUAAAAUGGCAGAUUCAGAACCAAAAGUCUACGAAAUAAAAUUCCAUUAAUAUAAUAUGCCAGAAAAAAAGUAAGAAUACCGUAUAUAGUGUUGAUAUUCUUAUAGGAGUCUAUCUUUGUAGGAAUAUCCACUACUCAGUACGAUCUGUUGCAUAACCAAUGAUCGAAAAUAUCAUGAUACUCACACAAAGCAAAGACUCUCAAGAACGUUAAUUUUCUUUGAACUUAAAAAAACUAAAUGGAACUAGGGGAGUAAUAUAUAUGUGCAUCUGAUCAAUAAAAUAAAAUGACGAUCACAUAAAGGAAGUAAGAGAGUAUUGUUAAGUAAAUUAAUUAAGAAAAGAAACCCAAAACAGUAUUGCCUGGCUCCGUUCUGUCUGCCUCUUUCUUUAGCUUGGGAGGUUGCAGAGGCCUUAUAACAACAAAGAGCCCCCUACUAGAACUGAUGAAGAACCCUUCUUGGACUUGUUGAUGAGUUUUCCCACCAACUUGAACGUCCUCGACCACCAGAAGAGAACUUUGCUAAACGUUUUAGUGGUAGUACUACCAGUUGUAAAUCCUUCUUUUUCUUGAACCAGUGCAACAAGUUGGCUUCUGGGAUUAGUAAUAAUAUUAGCAGUAAACAAGUAAAUGGAUGGGAAGCGAAAUUUUCAUCUUCUUCAACCAUCUUUGCAUAAUUAUUUAAAAUGCAACCACCAACCACCCUCCCUCUUCUUCUUCUUCUUCUUCUUCUACUGUUACACAAACCCCUCUUUUCUUAUUUCUGUUUGUGGCCAGCAGCGGGAUUUGAUAUACAUCACGCAAAAGGAUACAUAUGUGUUGCCUUGGAGAAAGAAGAGAAAGAAAUGGAGAGUUAAGAGUAGAGAGGGGAAUCUAUGGGAUGGUGAAAAUGAGAGUGGCUGAGAGCUGAAGGAGGGAGGGCAGAGACAAGGGCGGGUUCUUAAAAGAAGGGUCCCAGCCCCGGAAGAGGAAUAGACAUUUUGUCC
rnacentral:lncRNA from 1 species